GACUUGGUCAAAGCUCCUCAGC
rnacentral:miRNA from 6 species